rnacentral:lncRNA from 1 species
AAAAAGCUCUGGAAAUAGAUCAUCAGGAUGGUUGCACAAUGUUUUGAAUGUAAAUGCCACUGAAUUGUACACCUUAAAAGGGCUCAAAUGACGUCAUCAGCACCCACCCUCCCAGAUGUGACAAUCAGAAAUGUGUCCAGACAUAUCCAGAUGUCCCUUAUGGGGAAGGGAGAAUCGCCCUGGCUUUGCAGACUCCAGCUGGAACCCCUGCUGCAAGCGAUGGAGGAGCAACAGCUCGGCAAUCUGGAGGCAAGGUGGGAGGUGGAGAAGCACGGAAACGAAGUCUCUGGCUCAACCAGCAAAAGUGAACCACUCCCCAGCAGUGGAAACCGGGGCUUCCUAGAAGAAACGAUGCACUCCCCACCUCCCUCUGUUUGUGCUGCAGUGAAAACUGACACGAGAGAUUCAUUGGAACAUGUGCCCUCGUUCCACUCUCAUCAGCCCACCGCAGGGACAGGAGCUGUUCAUCUUUUUGGCUGUGCUCGCAGCCUCCAGAACACUUAUGAGGGGCACCUUGUGGGCGCCGUGGUCGGAUGAGGCCCCUGGGGCUCUUCCAGAGGCUGGCACUCUCUGCAGUUGUCGCUCACAUACCUGCUCAGGCCAGGCCAGGCCAGAGUGGACAAUGUCUUCCCAGCAGGCCAGACCAGUCUCCCAGGAGGCUGAGGCUGCUGUAUCACUCACCAAACCCUCUCAUCUGCCGGCCUGACCCUGUGCUAUGCUGGAAAUAGCACUCGAGCCAGACGCCCUCCCUGACUUGGACAAGGGCAGUGCCCUGGAAGGAGAGGGCACAGAAGCAGCUGUUUACAGAACCUCCGAGGGCUGCAAUGGGGCAAUGGGGUGUGCAGGAGAGUGACCAGGAGCCCGGGGCAGCUGGUGACCCACCCCUCCAGGCAUUCGUGAGGUGUCAGAAGAGGGGGCCCCUUGAACGGGGCCUGCAGAGAUGGCUAAGAGUCCAUCAGGCAGAUGAAAUGAUUUGCUUUCUUCACACUUACCAAGCUUAGAAAUGACCUCCUUCAUGCAUGUGAAUGACUUUAUUCAUGUAUAUGACUCACCUUCCUCAUGCAUGUGAUGAUCUUAUUGUAUGUGACUCACUUUCAUGCACGUGAUGACCUUAUCCAUGUAUGUGACUCACCUUCAUGCAUGUGAUGACCUUAUUCAUGUAGGUGAUUCACCUUCUUCAUGCAUGUGAUGACCCUAUCCAUGUAUGUGAUUCACCUUCUUCAUGCAUGUGAUGACCUUAUUCACGUAUGUGAUUUGCCUUCUUCAUGCAUGUGAUUACCUUAUACAUGUAUAUGACUCACCUUCAUGUAUGUGAUGACCUUAUUCACAUGUGACUCGCCUUCUUCAUGCAUGUGAUGACCUUAUUCACAUGUGACUCGCCUUCAUGCAUGUGACGACCUUAUCCAUGUAUGUGACUCACCUUCUUCAUGCAUGUGAUGACCUUAUCCAUGUAUGCGACUCACCUUCUUCAUGCAUGUGAUGACUUUAUCUAUGAAUGUGACUCAUUGUUUGUCUUCCCAUCCCCCUAAAACAUAAACUCAAUGAGAGC